rnacentral:rRNA from 1 species
GACGAACGCUGACGGUGUGCUUUAGACAUGCAAGUCGAACGAGAAAGCCCUUCGGGGUUAGUAAAGUGGCGAACGGGUGAGUAACACGUGGGCAAUCUGCCCCUCGCAGGGGGACAACCGGAGGAAACUCCGGCUAAUACCCCGUAAGUUCAAAGGGAGGCAUCUCUCUUCGAAGAAAGGUAGCUUCGGCCAUCCGGCGAGGGAUGAGCCCGCGGUGCAUUAGCUAGUUGGUGGGGUAACGGCCUACCAAGGCGACGAUGCAUAGCUGGUCUGAGAGGAUGAUCAGCCACACUGGGACUGAGACACGGCCCAGACUCCUACGGGAGGCAGCAGUCGGGAAUCUUGCCCAAUGGGCGCAAGCCUGAGGCAGCGACNCCGCGUGAGGGAAGAAGGCCUGGUGUAACU